CGCAGCGGUGAGCGAAAAAUGUUUUGCGAACGCGCGCAGCGAAAUAUUCAGGAUCCAGCACAUGACUUACGGCUUUCAUAUUUACAUCGACUUUGGAUUCGCAACUAUGAGAACCGCGGCAAUGGCUCUGACGGCACCUUGCAAUCUACGGCGGUGAACGAGUAUCUAAACGCCAGUGGCAUUCCUCUCUUGCUUGCGUUACGCCUGUGAAAUCCGACAGCGGUGGCAGCAUGUCGUCCGAUCCGCCUUCAACUGAACGCUCGCCGACUGAUGCGGAAGGAGCGGUUUGCCUCUUGCUUGCGGUGCGCCUGUACUUCACAGCGGUGGCAGUAUGGCGUCCGAUCCGCCUUCAACUGAACGCUCGCCAACUGGUGCGGAAGGAGCGGUUUGCCUCUUGCUUGCGUUGCGCCUGUGAAACGUGACAACGGUGGCAGCAUGUCGUCCGAUCCGGCUUAAACUGAACGCUCGCCGACUGGUGCGGAAGAAGCGGCUUGCCUCGUUUCGCAGGGGCCAUCAAAGAAAAUCGUGAAGCUCACAGGCGCCCGGAAACUCGCCGACCUCCACGAAAGCCUGCGGACGGGAGGGUUCGUGUACCUGAUGACAGGCAACGAUCUUCUAAUACAGAUCUUCCAACGACCGGUUGCAGUGCUACAUCGACAUGGGUGAAAGCACGACGGUGUGUGAUGGAGCAUUGAUUAACUUGGUUGUCUCCCCAAGCCACUCCGAAGCAUCAGAGGCACAAAAAAAGCCGUUGUCUGGUAGUGCGGUUGGACAUGCGGAGAAUGCAGUCAAAGGACAGUACAAGGAAUUGUCAACGUACACACUGCCUCUGAUGCCCAUUGACGUUGCUGCACACCUCUGAAAUAUUACAGCAGGAGGCGUGCCUGACAAUCUUCAAAAGAAAAUUGAAUGGAUUGCCUACAAUUCGUCAUCACAGACAAUGUACCCAAGUAAAUUGUGCAAUGUUGCUGCAAGGAGCCUCGUAAACCAGUUCCCAGCACUGAGGGACACAUUGCCCCUUGGCCAUUUCUCAUGGUAUAUGUGCCUAAGAAACAAGUACAAAAACAUGCGAAAGUGAAUGCCACCAGGAUGCCCUGAAGUCGAUGCAGAAGUGAAAGCAAGAAAGGCAAGCGAAAUUGUGACACAUGCUCAAAAUCUGGAUUUUGAAGACUGGUGAUCAGCUGCAAGUUUGCAUGCAUAUUUCACUAGAUAAACUGACUCUCCUUUCUUUGUUAUGUGGCUUAGUUGAAACAUUUAGUUGCUUCUCUUGAUGUACUUGUUCGUUUCAUUUACAUUUUUUCUUUAAAAAAUGCAAACAUGCAAUCCAGCUAUAGCAACUAUAUCUGCAAUGCUGUCACCAGAGAUUUUGUAGGUGAUCAAAGAACCAAAAUAUCAUAUCGCAUCGCCACCUUGAACCUAGAGGGAAACAUUAGUUCAAGAUGUAGUGGUAGGUGCAUUUAUAGACUAGUAAUACAGCAUUCAUACUGUAAUGUAUAUUGAUAUACAUGCUAAGAUGUAGCGAAAAGUGUGUGACUAUGCUGCUCUGACACUUCAGUUGUUUUAACCUUUCAUUGAUGAGUUCUGCAUACAGCAUACCAAAAAAUUUUAAUUUUUCUUGCUGAUUUUUGGCAUUGAGUAAGAAGUUUCUUGUUAAAUGUAUUGAGCCAACACUGAAUGACUGGCAGCUAGUGUCAUUUGUCGGUUUAGAGCAGAAACACAGGAUGGGAAAAAAAAAGACAUCGGACUCGUUUUCUUUGGAAAGCACGGUCAGGGGAGACAGACCAGUGCAAGAUCUGCUGUAGUGACCUCAGACACACAAUGCAAAGAGCUCUCUGUAUAGAUUCCAAACGCAGCCAUAUGUCGCUUGGGGAGAAACCCACUUCUUCCCCUAUACUAUAAAGGAGUUUCUACAAAAUAUCCUUUAUUUUUGUUGAUUAUGCUUAUUCUCAAUGUCUUUUGCACAUUUAGGAAAAUAAUUUGUUUUGUAUUUAUAUGCGUGGUCAUUAAAGGGUUAGACAAAUAAAGUGGUUCCAAUGAAUGUGAAUGUAUAACUUUAGCGACUCUAGUCGCAAUGUGUUGAUCAUUCCACAAUCUUUGUGAGAGCACGAAACAGGAACUAGGCAGCAUGAAAAUCACUCAGCACUACCAAGAAGGAAGCUUCAGCACUUAUACAGUACUGUAGAAUACACUUCUUCUAUGCUGUACCUGUGGUGUCCUUUUUAUUAUGUGGUCUUGAUCCCACUAUGGGGAAAUAACUCUGCUUUGCAAGUGCAUUGCAGUACUUUAAUACUUUAACUGCUUGCUGCAAAAGGAAAGUGCCAUUAGAGUAUUACAUAAGGAUCAUGUGUUAUGAGGCAGUUGCUAGACGUGGUAUGUCACAGCUCUGAGUUGCCGGCGGCCAUUAUAAUCAGCUGUUUUCUGUGGCAUUGUUAACUUGACAGAACAUUGUGAGCAUUAUCUGAUCAGUAAACAAUACUACAUAAUUCUGGCCCUUAUUUGGAACUUUGUCUCAUCUCUGUGAUGCGCGCAACCCGCUUUUGAUGUUACUGAGAUGGAGUGACUCCUUGCAAAGCAGCAGGGUAGUUCUGUUAAUGAUGCUGUCAUUCACACUUACGCAAAUUGUUUAGUAGGCAUUAGCUCAGUGCCAUUCCCCCAUAGAAUCACAGCUUGCAUUUCAUUCAUGUAUAAUAGAAACAUUCUGUAGAUUUCAUGUGAAAAUGUGACAUUGGAGGGCAUUAUGCUAUAAGUUCACAGCAGUGAGCCCCAUUAUUGGAAGACAGCUGUUGUCUCAAAUUACUUACAACAAAGUGAAGCCAUGUACAUUCUCGCCUUAACUACUGCAGUUUAGUAUGGGCCACAAUGACCAUAACAAACAUAAAUAAGGUUCUCGUAUUGCAAAAGAAAAUUGUUCAAAUAAUCGCUAAUGUUGAUAAUACAACUACCUCCAAAUGUGCAUUUGAAGCACAUAACAUUGUCCGCGUCAAUCAUUUGUAUAACUUUAAGUUGUUACAAAAAAUUUAUUUCUCAAUGGCAUCCACUGCCGAUUUUUAUUCUGCUCUGGCAUCUUUGGACAUGCGUCGUGCUAACAUACUCACAAGACCUAUUAAUACAUAGAUUAUACCAUGUUUUCGCGCUAAUUAUAAAUUGCAAAUGUUGUCUUAUAACCUGCCCCAUGUUCUAAAAGGGUAUACCAAAGCUGAGCUGCGUAAAUAUUUUGUUGAAAUGUGAUUUUAUGUGUUGAAAUGUGAUUUUAUGUCUUUGCUAGUAGAUGCUGCAUGUUUGCUUGGUUAUUACUUUUAUUAUUUCUGAACAUAAGUGUGACCAUUUCAGCGUUUCGAUUUUACUGUUCAAAUUUUGUGCAAAGAUUAUUAGACUCUGUAUGCAUAAAUAGUGAAUGUUUCUCUUUAUUGAAUGUGACUAUUCUAUGUGUGUCUGUUGAAGAUUUCCUGCACCACUCCUGUGCUACUGCUUGUAGGGGUUUCCUGGACACGGUCAAGCUGUGCAGGCAGCUUUUUGCCAAAAACCUACCCUCCAGUUGAAUCUGGAAAAUGAACUUAUACUUAUAUCCUUAUACUUAUUUAAAUAUGUUCUGCUUAUUGUGUAUCCACAUGUGUGGGCUUGUGAUAUGCCCUGAUGGCAAGGCCAUUUGUGGUUCGUUCAAAGAGAACAUUUACGGAUGCAUUAUAGCUAUUCUCAGGCUCCUCUCUUCCUGCUGUAAACUGGAUUCUCUGCUUAUAAGAAAUAAGUGUUCCUUGUGAUUACUAUAUGUGCCCUUGCUAAAGGUUACUGUGAUGUGUUCAUGUUCUUAUUGAAUAAAAUGUUUACAAAGUUUUAA